rnacentral:rRNA from 1 species
UACGGAGGGUGCGAGCGUUGUCCGGAAUCAUUGGGCGUAAAGCGCGCGUAGGCGGUUACUUAAGUCGAAUGUGAAAGCCCUCGGCUUAACCGAGGAAGUGCAUCCGAAACUGAGUAGCUAGAGUACGAAAGAGGGUCGCGGAAUUCCCGGUGUAGAGGUGAAAUUCGUAGAUAUCGGGAGGAACACCGGUGGCGAAGGCGGCGACCUGGGUCGAGACUGACGCUGAGGCGCGAAAGCGUGGGGAGCAAACAGG